ensembl:lncRNA
GGUCAGGGGAUCUUUUGGGGUUUUUGGGGCUCUUUUGGGGUCAGGGGAUCUUUUGGGGUUUUUGGGGCUCUUUUGGGGUCAGGGGCUCUUUUCGGGUCUUUUGGGCUCUUUUGGGGCCAUGGGAUCUUUUGUGGUCCGAGGCUCUUUUGGGGUCAGGGGCUCUUUUGGGGUUUUUGGGGCUCUUUUGGGGUCAGGGGCUCUUUUGGGGUCUUUUGGGCUCCCUUGGGGUCAGGGGACCUUUUGGGAUCAGGGGGUCUUUCGGAACCUCGUCUUUUGGGUUUUAUUCCUUUCUGCUCUUUUUUGGGGUUUUUUUUUGGGGGGGGGAAUUUUCUGAUUCUUUUUUUCCCCAAUUUUGACACUUUUUGUCCCCAAAAAAAGAGACCAACGGGACGGUGCCGGUGGAGGUCCGGGUCACUAAUAGGGUUUUUGAGGAGGAUUUCCGUGACAACACGUCGGAUGCGUAUCGAGACUUCGUGCGGGGCUUCAGCAAGCAGAUGGACGAGGUCUAUAAGAACAUCGAGGGCUACCGCGGCAUCCAGGUCCUACAGCUCAGGUACGGGGGGCCCCAAAAAAACCCCAUUGGGGGGCGGUGGGGGGGAGAGAUUGGGGUCCCCCAUCCCAACCCCAUUGGUGGAGGUUUUGGGGUCCCCCAUCCCACCCCAUUGACGCAGUUUUUGGGGUUCUCCAUCCCACCCCAUUAAGGAUCCAUGGGGUGAAGCUUUUGGGGUCCCCCAUCCCACCCCAUUGGGGAAGGUUUUGGGGUCUUCCAUCCCACCCCACAGAUGCAGUUUAUGGGGUCCCCCAUCCCACCCCAUUAAUGCUCAAUAGGGCGAAGGUUUUGGGGUCCCCCCUCCCAACCCAUUGGUGGAGGUUUUGGGGUCCCCCCUCCCACCCCACUGAUGCAGUUUUUGGGGUCCCCCAUCCCAACCCCAUUGGUGGAGGUUUUGGGGUCCCCCAUCCCACCCCAUUGGUGCAGUUAUUGGGGUUCUCCAUCCCACCCCAUUAAGGCUCCAUGGGGUGAAGAUUUUGGGGUCCCCCAUCCCACCCCAGUGAUCCAGUUUUUGGGGUCCCCCAUCCCACCCCAUUGGUGGAGUUAUUGGGGUCCUCCAUCCCACCCCCAUUAAUGCUCAAUAGGGUGAAGGUNNNNNNNNNNNNNNNNNNNNNNNNNNNNNNNNNNNNNNUGCAGUUAUUGGGGUCCCCCUUCCCACCCCAUUGAUGCAGUUAUUGGGGUCCCCCCUCCCACCCCACUGAUGCAGUUUUUGGGGUCCCCCCUCCCACCCCAUUAAUCCACAAUAGGGUGAAGGUUUUAGGAUCCCUCAUCCCACCCCACUGAUCCAGUUUUUGGGGUCCCCCAUCCCACCCCAUUGAUGCUCCAUGGGGUGAAGCUUUUGGGGUCCCCCAUCCCACCCCACUGACGCAGUUUUUGGGGUCCUCCAUCCCACCCCAUUAUUAGGGUCCCCCAUCCCACCCCACCGAUGCAGUUUUUGGGGUCCCCCAUCCCACCCCAUUAAUCCACAAUAGGGUGAAGGUUUUAGGAUCCCUCAUCCCACCCCACUGAUCCAGUUUUU